GACGAACGCUGGCGGCGUGCCUAAUACAUGCAAGUAGAACGCUGAAGGAGGAGCUUGCCUCUCUGGAUGAGUUGCGAACGGGUGAGUAACGCGUAGGUAACCUGCCUGGUAGCGGGGGAUAACUAUUGGAAACGAUAGCUAAUACCGCAUAAUAUUGACUAUUGCAUGAUAGUCAGUUGAAAGGUGCAACUGCACCACUACCAGAUGGACCUGCGUUGUAUUAGCUAGUUGGUGGGGUAACGGCUCACCAAGGCGACGAUACAUAGCCGACCUGAGAGGGUGAUCGGCCACACUGGGACUGAGACACGGCCCAGACUCCUACGGGAGGCAGCAGUAGGGAAUCUUCGGCAAUGGACGGAAGUCUGACCGAGCAACGCCGCGGGAGUGAAGAAGGUUUUCGGAUCGUAAAGCUCUGUUGUAAGAGAAGAACGAGUGUGAGAGUGGAAAGCUCACACUGUGACGGUAUCUUACCAGAAAGGGACGGCUAACUACGUG
rnacentral:rRNA from 1 species